CCCUGUUUUCGUCUUGGAUACGUACAUGCUUCCGUGUAAUAUUGAUUGAAUAAUACUAGAUCUGCAUCUAUGCAUGUAUGAUGCAUAUGUGAGUGCUACCUCUAGGAAGUACAUGAACAUCAUGUAAUCCGAACAAAGUUUCAACAGGGAACCAGUUCAAGUUGAAUAACCCAAGACCCCAGAAUUGGAGCUGCUACUGUUUUGGCGGUUGAAACGAAUAUAAGCUUAAAAACUAUAGAACAAAUGAGACAUGAAGCUUUACUAGAAGUCUAGAAGGGAAGUCAUAAUUCGUAAGAAAGUGGGAGCAGACAUAGCACGACAGCUGAAGAUUUGGCCACCACGAACAUAAAAUUGGGUGCCUUCUCCUCCACCAUCUUGAGCUCUUCGGCCGCCACCUUUCUUUCCUUGGCCGCCGCCCUCCGCCGCUCGGCUUCCCUCCUCUCUUCCAUUUAUUUUGACUUCAACUUUUUUUCUUCGGCAUAGUCUUUCCUUGCAGUGACAAUGGCGUCAAACCCUUAUUUAAGAUCAUUGUCUCCAGCCUUCGAACCCUUUGUUUUCUUAUUUCCAUCCAGCCUAUAUGACUUGGUCGCCGAGUGAGGAGUGGGGCUCCUUCUCUCCUUACCACAGACAUCAUCAUCAAUCCUCACGAUCAACAACCACACUUUUCUUCUUCGAAGCAUCAUAAACUUCUCAAGUCUUUCACUUCUUCUCAUCCUUGAGCUCCUUGUAGCAAUUGAUGAAAAGUGAAGGCUUUUCCUUUCUUUUUCCUCUUCUCUCCUUUGUUGUUUCUUUCUUGAAACAAUCCUUGCGCAGUCAUUUUCUACAACGAAACAACAAAAGCGACAUCAUCAAUUUAGGAACAUAUGCAGACUUGGGCAAUGUAGAGAAAACAAACACAAGUAGCAAGCAAUUACCAUGUCACUAUCACCGCAACCACUAGAGUUGAUGCAACCAACAUUUGUUAAGCAACCCGUCCACUUUUGGCAUUCGGCAUUGACGGUGCCCCAACGUUGACGAAUAAAAUCCCUUGAUCUAUAGUGUCCACUAGUAUUGCACUCAUCAAAAUAUUCCUUGAUGCAGUCCCAAUAGGUGUUCGCGGCUGGGUCACUCCCCACGGAUGCAUCAAUGGAGAUUCGCUUCCACGCAGUGCAAAUCAAGCCAUCUUCGGCGUUGGUAUAAUUUGUGCUUCUUCCCUUGAAAAUAAAGCCCUCAUUGUCCAUGUCGAGAUUAUCAUCAUCAAAUUGAGUAUCACAUUCUUGUGAUGCAUACUCUUGAGAGAAAUAAUCUUCGUUUACGCCAUUUGUCACGUGCAUGAAUGCUUCAUCAUCAAGACUACAAGUGGACGUACACACAAUCUCACAUUCUACUCGUACCAGAAAUGAAAAUAACAUACAAAAAGAAAAAAAAAUACCUUUGCAAAUUUCGUCGAGCACAUUGGAGGCGGUGUCGCGGGCGUGGCCGAGUCUUCCUCCAUGGGCGGCGGCGGGGCUUGCGGUGGUGGAGGAGGCCCAUGUUCGGUGGCAGUUGCCGCGGCCGCCAGCGGCAUCGAAUCGGCCGAAGCAGCCGCAGUCGCCUUUUUCAUCUUCACCACUCGAGAUUGAGUCGUGGCGGGGUUGCACACCGUCGGCCGCUUCGCGCCUCCACCAUGGGGUUUAGCCGCCGGCUGCUUCAUCACCGGCGGCGCACCUGUUCCUGCCGCAGCGACCGACCGAGGUGAGGCGAAACCGGGGCAACGGGAUGGGGCGGCAUGGCGGCGGAGGCGGGGUCGGUGAAGGUGAUUGCGCAAGCGGCAGCCGUGACGAGGUGGGUCAGACCAGCGGAGGUUGCGGCUGGGAGGGGGGGUCAUCGGUGUCGGCCAUGGGGCUAAGCGGCAGCUUGCGACCAGCGGUCGGGAGACGGGCGGGCGGCUGAAAGUUUCAGAUUCGGCGGUUGGCUGUUCACGCGCGGCUGGGCGUUUUACAUCACCAGGCGGCUGGAGAUGCAAAUUUGGAUCUCCAAGUGUUAUAUUUUACAUAACUUGGGGUAGGUGAUGUAAAAAUUUAUACAUCAGCAUCAUCUGUUAGAGCAGCGUUUUUCUUUUUGGCCUUGAAGAUGUAAAAAGCUGUUAUUUAUAUACCUACAUCAUCUAUUGGAGAUGCUCUCACAUCAUAAGACCAUAAGAGCUCAUAGGCCUGAUAGGUUAAAAUAUUAUGAUUAUACAUUAUUUAGACUUGCUAAAUGGAGCAAAAAAGUUACCCCUUUGUAAACUAAUAUAAGAGCGUUUAGAUCACUAAAGUAGUAAUCUAAACGCUCUUAUAUUAAUUUACGGAGGGAGUAGUUCAUACAUUGAACAGAGCAGCAAAAUAUAUCAGCAACGUAAAUAACAUGCAACAUCGGACUGAAAUCUAUAGAAAAUAAAAUGAUACUAAAACAGCGACAAUUAAUAUGAAUCCAAGGUAGUAGUAUUUUUUGAUUUUUUUGCCAGCCCUCCCACUUUUCAUUUUUCACAUGUCAGUCGCACCAACGUAAAUUUACGCACACACAAACAAAAAAGGUUGUACUAUCUCUGUUUCUUGCGGGUACUCAGUUAUUACACUACCCACUCAGUUAUACUACCCUACAAAAAUACGUUCGCUUAGCCUGGAAGCAAGGAAGAUAUAUGCGUGCACUGCAAGUAUAUAAGCAAGCCCCCCUCCCUCCUCUACAUUCAUCCAUCAUACAAUCCAUCUUGAAGGUCUUAAUCUGUCAUAGAACCCUCUCGAUCUUUCACAAGAAAACUAAAUGGAUCGGUCCAUGAAGGUCUUUGUGGUCGUCUUCCUGCUCCUUGUGGCCACAGGUGUGUAUGCUGUACUUACUGUUUAAGAUAACUGAUAAUACUGCUAAAUUAUGUACCGAAACGUCGUAUAUUUUGGAACGGAGGUAGUAUGUGAGAUGGCUGAUUUGCUCUAUCAAUUUGCCCGUGUAGGGUUCCAGGGACCGGUGCAAGUAGCUUUGGCGAGGGAUUGUACUUCACAGAGCCACGAGUUUGUGGGGAUGUGCCUGAGUGACCGCAACUGUGCAAGUGUUUGCCAGACCGAGUAUUUCACCGGAGGCAAGUGCGACCACCGACGUUGUGUCUGCACCAAGGACUGCUAGAUGGCCCCUGUAAUCUUCUUGCACACAUGGUUCCGUGUAAUAAUAAUAAUAAUAAUAACUGAAUAAUAAUACUAGAUCUGCAUCUAUGCAUGUAUGAUGCAUAUGUGAGUGCUACUCCUAGAAAGUACAUGAACAUCAUAUAAUCCGAACAAAGUUUCAGCAGGGAACCAGUUCAAGUUGAAUAAUCCAACACUCCGGAACUGGAGCGGCUACCG
rnacentral:lncRNA from 1 species